rnacentral:rRNA from 1 species
GGAGCGGCGAAUGUCCUAUCAGGUAGUUGGCGGGGUAACGGCCCACCAAGCCGAAGACGGGUAGCGGGUGUGAGAGCACGGCCCGCCGCGUCGGGACUGAGCCACUGCCCGGACUCCUACGGGAGGCUGCAGUAACGAAUAUUCCGCAAUGGGCGAAAGCCUGACGGAGCAAUGCCGCGUGCAGGAUGAAGGCUUUCGCCGUGUAAACUGCUGUCAGGGAACAUGAUCGUUCCCAAAGGAAGGGCCGGCUAAUCCUGUGCCAGCAGCCGCGGUAAUACAGGAGGCCCGAGCGUUAGUCGGAAUCACUGGGCUUAAAGGGUGCGUAGGCGGACCAGUAAGUAUCUCGUGAAAUACCUCGGCUCAACCGAGGAACGGCGGGGUAAACUACUGGUCUGAGGGAGGUAGGGGUUGCUGGAACGCUCGGUGGAGCGGUGAAAUGCGUAGAGAUCGAGCGGAACGCCGAAGGUGAAGACAAGCAACUGGGCCUCUCCUGACGCUGAGGCACGAAAGCGUGGGGAGCAAACAGGAUUAGAUACCCUGGUAGUCCACGCCGUAAACGAUGCGCACUAGACCGAUUGAUCGGAGAGAAAUUGUUAAGUG